rnacentral:rRNA from 1 species
UACGGGGGGAGCAAGCGUUGUUCGGAUUUACUGGGCGUAAAGGGCGCGUAGGCGGCCACCUCAUGUCGACUGUGAAAUCUCCGGGCUUAACCCGGAAAGGUCAGCCGAUACUGCGGGGCUAGAGUGCAGAAGGGGCAACUGGAAUUCUCGGUGUAGCGGUGAAAUGCGUAGAUAUCGAGAGGAACACCUGCGGCGAAGGCGGGUUGCUGGGCUGACACUGACGCUGAUGCGCGAAAGCUAGGGGAGCGAACGGG